rnacentral:sRNA from 1 species
CUCGGACCAGGCUUCAUUCCCCCCA